rnacentral:miRNA from 1 species
UAGUAUUGGCCUAUGGACAUUG